CUCCUGUUUUGCAGUCAUGUGAAGCCAGUAGGGCUGCUGCACUGGGAGCCCCCCCGGCCACAGGUGAGGAGCCUUGCCAUCUGCAAUACUCAGUAGGCCAAUCAAGCUGGCCCUGCGUGAGGAGAGAUUGACAGGAAAAUGUCUUCAGAGCAAACGCAUGCCAGAUGGAAUGAAAACGGUUUAUUGGAGUAUGGAGGUGCUGCUGAACUGAAUAGAGGACGGGUUUAAGUACUGCACCAGAGAAAAACUUUAAAGUCAAAAGUUCAGUCAUUACAUACACUGCAGAAAAGGAUAAGGCAAACUGGUUUGGACUGAGAUUUUUUUAUUGUUUGCCUCACUGCCCUCCUCUCUCUCCCCACCUUCUCAAUAUGAAGGAAUUUCUCAGUGUGAAUAGAUAAAGAGGUUUUGAUGUGCUUCAGAUAAAUCAGAAUGAUUUUUUCCAAAAUGAGAAUGGGUAAGAAACAAAAACA